rnacentral:rRNA from 1 species
GAUCAUGGCUCAGGAUGAACGCUAGCGGCAGGCCUAACACAUGCAAGUCGAGGGGCAUCACAGGUAGCAAUACCGGGUGGCGACCGGCGCACGGGUGCGUAACGCGUAUGCAACCUACCCAUAACAGGGGGAUAACACUGAGAAAUUGGUACUAAUACCCCAUAACAUCAGAACCGGCAUCGGUUUUGGUUGAAAACUCCGGUGGUUAUGGAUGGGUAUGCGUUGUAUUAGCUAGUUGGCGAGGUAACGG